UCUUAAGUUGGGUUGCGCUCGGUCGCCAUCAGUCAGCGCCGGGAUGAAAGGGCUAUAAAACCAACACAGCGCCCGAGACCGUAUGAAAAUAUAUAUCCUGAUGUGUCAGGAAUACCUGGCGCGCCUUUAACCUCAACUUCAGAUGAACCAACACGCCUCGGAGCACAUUUAUAUGCAAAGGCAUAUAAUAUGUCCCCUGUAUCUAAUUAUCUGUCAACCUGAGGCAGUUUGUUUUCCAAAUCGGCCUCUCGGCUGUGACUUUACGAGGUCAUAAAGAAAACGAUGCCACUCUGCACUGAAACGCAAGGAGAGCCUGGAUCAACAAAUUAUACUCCUUAAUGGUGUCUCUCGGCCUGGAGAUUCAGGCCCGGCGGAAAGAAGGCAGCCCGGCCCUUGUUGCCUGCCCGCUGCCUUCUGCUAAAGAAAAGAGAAAGGGGCACACGGGGCACGGCUUAUUCGAGAGACUUCCUACUCUUGCUCAGCUGUCCUCGGCUCUGCAUUUCCUCCCGUGCGGUGGCUGUCUGUCUGGAAGUUGUUAGCCUGGCACCCUGCAGCGGGUGCUCCUGAGGUCUGCAGCCGCCCCUGGACUUGGCCGGUCUUGGGCCCCGGAGCAUCUUGAGCUCCUGAGAGGCCCCCCGAUCUUUGGUUCCACCGGAGAAAGCUUUGAUCCGCUCUGCACGAGACCGCUCCUGCCUGCACCGGCCCCGAGAUUCUGGUCCCAUAGGAAAGUGGGCUGGAAGAUGUUUAUUCUGCCAUGCAUCCGCCAGCAGAAGGAGUGGGGACUCCUGGAAACUUCUAAGCAAGAGAAGAAAAUUCCUCCUCCCAAAGCAGGGAAGAUAUGUUCUCGGGCCCCAGGCUGCCCUGCCCAACUGAGAUGCUCCUCCUUUUCCAAUUCAACAGGUGAACUCCCAGUCAACCUUCAGAUCUCAAGUAUCACUUCCUCAGGGAAGCCUUCUCUGAUUUCCCUAAUUUGAUCAAAUGCUACUAUUUGAUGCUCUCAUAGGAUGAGGUAACACUCUUUGGCAUUUCUACAGCUCUCACCUUUACAUGACUUCUGUGAUUCUUUCAUAUAUGCUCCACGACGGUGAAGGCGCAACUUUUCGUUUGCUUAUAUUUAUUUACUGUGACUGACACAAAAUGGCCCUCAAAUACCUUUAGAUGAAUGAGUGUUACAUUUGUAUGUGCGUUAUCGCACACCUGCCCAAAAUGCGGUCCCGGUCAUGCUGUGCAGGCCUCCAAUCUCUCCCUGUCCACUUAGUUUUCUCUGUCUUUACCCACACCUCUUCUUGCUUUGUGCUUCCACUAAGCCUUACCGGGCACAAGGAAGGAAUGUCUGUUUGAAGAGCUUAUCAUUCCACGGGAGGAGAAAGCCAGAUGAAAUGGGACCAGACCUGAAAGACACUGAAGAUAACCCAGAGGGGCGGGACGACCACUCUCCCACCCCGUCACGACUAUAUAGGGAAACCAGGAGCGCAGAGGCCGUGCUCAUUCAUUCUGUAUCUUAUUAACUCAUGACGAGAAGGCCAUCACACAAAAGGUGUUUGGUUUUAUGCGCCAAAUGCCUUUGGUUUUAUGGAGCCAGAAACCAUUCUGGAGAACGAUGGUGAACGGGAAGUGGGCUCCGGGAAGGGGGAGGGGCAGGUGCCCCACGCACCUGUUGCACAGCUUCGCGAGGCCGAACCGUGCUUGGAGAGGCCAGACCGAUCCAGCAGACACGGAUCCGGCAGCCCUGCACUCCAGUCCCUCAGCCGCCCGGUCCUCCAAACAGACCUGGCAGAGACCCCACGAGGCCGUCUUCUGACCGCCAUCCGCCUUUGCUGCAAACACAGGUUCUUCCAAGCUGGCCUCUCCGCAGACGGUACUCCUUAGGCUCUUUUUCAUUUCUGUCAGGAAAUAAAAUGGCCGAGAAGAUACCCUUAGACUCCUUUGCCACCAGCGCACCCCUCUGAAGGACAAGCACCGGCCUGGGAGCUGCCGCCUAGCCGGCAGAGGCUCACUCUCCAGCCCAGGACGGGGAGAGCGAGGCUCAGCGCAGCAUUGCUGUUUUCCCUUCACUGGGUCGGUAAACAUUCUGGCCAUUUUGAAGUAUUAUUUCCCCCUUUAGGACAAUGUACUUGGGUUUGGGUUCUUUUCGCUUUGUUUAUGCAGUAAUGUUUCCAGCAAGAGGGAUGCACCUGUUCCACAGGCCCAUUAGACUCCGAAUUGCUUCUCCCUGAGCAGAGGCAUGGAGGAAAGACGGCCUUGGCACUCACAGCACACUGCGGAGGAAGACAGGGCGUCCGUGUCGCAAAGACCAAGCUGUAACCUUGAGCCACAAGCCAAGUGGCUGGGCGCUGGGAGAGGGAGGCGGGUGGUGCCCGGAAGAAGCUGAGGCUUAGCGAGGGAGGGAGGGGACAUGCCCAAGGUCACGCUGCCAAUUAGUCGGGAAGUUGGAGUCACGGCCACAGAAAGCCGGUCUGUCUGACUCCAAGCCCGCACUCUCCCCCGAGCUGUUAUGUCUUGGAGCUGCCUGAGGAAAGGGAGAGGUGGGGAGACAGGAGGGCAGCCUUUCCAGCAGUCACAGGCCUGUGCCCCCACAGCUAAGGGCUGUCUUUGUAUCUUAUCUCCACGCGAAGGAGGCCCCCACAGGGCUGCUUACAGAGUACUUGGGAGGGGUGAGAGAGGGAGGGAAGUGAACGGGGUGGUCCCUCUAACUCAUUCUGGAAGCUUCCUCCAGCUCUGAGGCCCAUCAGUUGCUCCAGUUCCUCCUCCCACGUCUCCCUCCUGCAGAAAAGACCAAGGGCAUCCUGACCGGGGGUGGGAAGGAUGGAAUCACACGCCCCCCACUCGGGCCUCCAGCAUCCAAGGCGCCCCAUGUUGGAGGUGGUGGGGGGAGACUGCUCCAUAGGCUUGCAGGGUCUUUUGUUUGGAGUGUCAGAGCCACAGCUCAACACAGAAGCUGCUCCUGGGCCCCGGUGACUUACUUUGUCAUCUGCCGCCUCUUGUGCAGGUGUGUGUAUUUUAGCUGGAGGAGCCCAGGCAUGGAAAUCGCUCUCCCUGUGCCCAUAUAUUAUCAGUAUUUUUUAACAUGUCGCUUUCCAAGCAGGUAAUGCAUUUGCAGAGACAGUGAUCUUUCAUCGGGAGAUUACGAUGAUUUGUGUUCUCUGUCUAAAUUCCAGCAUAAAUUUCAGAGCCAGCGAGGCAUUGGCUUGUGGCAAGAGCUGCGUUCUGAGAUGUGGCAGGCUAUCUGCGCACACCUCAGGCUCGCAGCCAUUCGUCCUGAUUAGGGAAAGGCUUUGAAAUUCUUCUUUGUGCCUCACCUUCUUUAUUUUUUCCAAAUUGCUCUUCCAGCAGGUCACCUUGGCAGCUGGUGGCAAGCCUCAAGUUACGUUGGCCAGGCUGGUCCCAAGCAGAGCAUUUACGCAACUCAACCUCUAGAACUCCUGGUUCUGCUGAAAUUAGCAGGGUGGCUUGGGUCAAGUCACAUAAGCCUCCGGGCUUCAGUUUCCUCGUCAAUAAAUUGGAAUUUGUAAUCCCAAAUUCACAGGGUUAAUAGGACGAUUAAAUACAAGAGCACAAAGGAGAAGUCCUCCCGAGGAGGAGGGACUCAGAAGACUAGGAAGACGGUCCCCUCGAUCAGCUCCAGUUCUCUGAGUGGGUGAUCUGAAAUUUCCCGAGGUGUCUCUAAUAAGAUGGCUAUUAAAUCA